GCUAUUGUCAGACAUUUAGUAAAGCUGGUCUGGCCAUUUUAACUGGGACUUUCUGCAAGUUUUGGGACACAUGCUCCCUUGCAGUAUCUCAAUACUUCUGUCCCAGCAAACAGCGAACCCUUGCCUGCACUGACGUGCGCAGGUGGUGGAAACUCUCCACUCCGAUCAUUAGAUUAGUCUCAAGGUUUAAGAAAUGAGUUUGAAUUUGGUGGAGCUCCAGAAUGCCUGAAACCCUGCCCUUGUUUGUGAGCAGUGCUCUGACUAGCUGUCUGCUGUAUGAAAGGCAAGGUGUCUACAGCUUCGGCCACCCCUUUUGUGUGCUCUGGGCAGAUCCUUGGAAGAGUGAGAGUAGGUACUUCUGGCAGGAAAAAUUAUAGCUGGAGAGCAGAAGCAAAGAGGAGAAACUUCUGAGCACUUCCUUGUCUUCAUUUUCUCUUGCUUUCCACCACCCAGUUGCUUCCCACUAUUUCCAUAAGUGUGAUGCUCUGCCUUCUGAGGCAGCACGGUGCACCGAUUCUGCACCCUUAAGGAAAGUGCUGCAAUCCUUCUCCAAGGACCCUGUGCCUACAGCUUUUAGCUUCUUGCAUCUUGAGAGCCAAAUUUAACAAGAAUAAUUUUACUUUGUGGGGCUAAGGGGCUUUUCAGAGAGAAGAGUCCAUCAACUGCUUAAAUUCAGUUUUCCUGGCAGAAGACCUCCAUUGCAUAUGAGAAGACCUCUAAUCCUGGUCCUUAGUGGACUAAGGGUUAGGGUAAGGCCUGACCUACGACAGCGGUGUGGACCACUACUGUAUCACCAGCUGGGAAGGAGUCUGCCCACUUUAAAAAUCACGCUUUGCUGUGGAGAGCAGAGCAAGAACGAACAGGGCAAACGCCAGGCAGCUACUAGCAAGCCUUCUGACUUGCAAAUGGAAUGGCUCAUUACAAACACUGGGAGAUUAAUAUUAAAGAUAAUCCUCUGAGCAUGGAAAAGAAUCCCAUGUAGCCUCAGGAGAUGGACAGCUAAAUCCUUGGAGCCAGUAUACACAGUUAUGCCAUCCAACCUCUGGGACACAGACCUUGUUUUUGAAAGCAGCAUGCUCUAGAGGAGAAAACAAAUGGAAAAACAAUAACAUCUUGCUUUCCUAACCCAGAAAAGGAGCCUUGAAUGUUCAUGAAACCAACCUUUUAUUGCAAAGGAAACAGAAGCUGAGAUUUUUCUGCCUCUCAUAAAUCUCAGACUAACAUGAUUAAAAAUAUCUUAGCUUUCUGAAACUGUGUGAAUUAGUGAAGGGACAGUGUGCAUUUCUAUUCAUCUCUUCUCUGUUUAUAUUUAAAUACUCUCAAAAAUACUGUUAGAAUUAGUCUUUUUUUUUCCCCCCAGAAGUACUAGCCAACAAGAGGCAGUGUUUUACACAUCACAUGAAGUAAGUUAACAUCUACAUCAUAAAACACAAAGUUAGUGCCUGUAGACCACAAGCAUUCCAAAUUCAUUACUUCUAAUUGAACUGCUUGUUACUUAUUUUAAUCUGAUAUCUACUCUAGAAGGAAAAUAGUCAUGUUGAAACUAAUUAAAGCUUUUUUCUUCUUCUUUUUUUGUCUUAUAUGAGUUUUACAUUAGUGGUGGCAAUAAUGUUUUGCUCAAAAGUAGGUCCAUUAUUUCUGGUUUUCCUAGGGGAGAGAGAAAUAAAGACACAUGCUUAAUUCCUUGUAAUGCAGAGAGAGGUUCUGUGUUGUGAAUAGUUCAGCAUUUUAUGAAUUGUCUUAAAUAAAUAAAUGAGAUUUUAAACAAAUAAUACUUCUUGGAUUCGGGAGGGAGGAUUUGCAAGUGAGAUGUUUGCACAUCUACACUCUUAUAGAAAGAAUCCAAAGAGCGGGAAAGCAGGGGGGAUGUUUAUUCCCCUUAAGUAUGAAGAAGAAAAGUGUCUUCCUGGUAAGACCCAUUCUAGGCCAAAACUGAAAACACAGAAAACAAAUCAGUGACAGUGGGUGUCAUUGUCUUAACUUGAUUAUUAGCAGCUGCAGGAUUUCGCCUGGGGUGGCUGUUGUCAUUUGCACUGGCAGGGUACAGUCAGCAGUGACUGCUCUACUGCUUCUCAAGUCAGAUGCUGAUUCAGUGGCUCCCAGACAAUGUUUCUUAACAUCAGAUUUCACUGGAUAGAAUUUCUAGUUUUUAUUUACAGACAUGCAUGCAAAUCUGCCCUCAACUAGCUGCCUUGUGCUGCGAACAAAAAUUUUAUUUUUGGUUGGCAGGUGGAUGAACCGAAUCUCCAGCUCUCCCGUAAAAACCAGGAAUACAACACUGUUCGGGUCGGUGUGAGACUGGGGUGUGUGCAAUCCCAGCAAAGACAGCGGGAUGCAGCAACUGACACACCAGCUUUAGAAAGCCUGUACUUGGUGGUGGCUGACUGUUCAUGCUGCUCUGUGAGCUUGCGCUCAGCCGCCUGCCUGCAUCCUGUGCACUGGGUACCCUUGGUCUCAGACAUGACACCUGGCAGCUGUCCCUCCUGCUCAGCUCAGAAGGCACUCAUGGGCAGAGGUGCCACCAGCAAUGCAGAUGCAGAUGCCGGACCCAGCGCACUCACAGCCCUUGAGCUGUAGCCCACGGGCUUCUUCGUGCUCUUGCCUGCUACCCCCUGUGGUGUCUCAGCAUUAAUGAAUGCACUUCAUGCUUACCUGCCCUUCGCUUUCCACUACAGAGAUCAGGGUGUAUCUGAAACUAUUGCUUUUAUUUCUGGUGAGGACUUAAUUAACGUGAUGCUCGCCAUCCACUCCCCACAUGCACUAGACACACAGACAGAGCACAAGUGCCCCUCCGGGAGGUAUUUGCAUACAGCAGAGACAAAAUAGAUUUGGCUUCUGUCACCUCCUUUGCCCAGAGUCUCACUUCCCCCUUCUCCUGUUGCCACAGUGACAGCCCUGGGGGAUGCCCAGAUGAUGACUUGGAACUUCUGCCACUCCCAGUCCUUGGGAAUGUGUUAUCUUUGUGCUUAUCUUUGCUCUAGAAUCAUGCUGUAGGGAUGGUCUUCUUCAAGAGGACUGUUGCUGGCAUCCAGAUUGCAGGUCUAGGUGGGACAGAGAUAAAACAUUGCCAUGCCCACACUUCUAGUGUCUUGAGGGUGGAGAUCCUGAAGAAGAACCGGUUGCAUCUGAUCAAACCCAGCUUUACAGCUUCUGUUUAUGCAGUCUCAUGGAUCAUGCAAGUUCCAGCUACGUCUGGAAGAAAAGCGGUUCAUUGUUUGGACCCUCAGGACAUGCCUAUGACUAUCACGUUAGGAAAGAGCUUUGGAAACUGUUCUGGCACAAGGUGAGAAAGGGAGAGGACAUGGCAAGUUCUAGGUCUGGGCUCCUGAGGCCCAACAGAUAAGGAGAGAGAACAGGGCAGCUUGCUGGUGUCCUGGGAUCUUUCCAGGUCUUAGCUUUAGCCCAUACCAAGGAGCCCUCGGUGAAUUGCACAACCUAGAUCACCUGGGUCCACGGCAGCCCAGGAUCAGCAAAAUCUGAUCUGGCUUCCUUGCAAGCAGGACCUGCAGAGCACAUGGAUGUGAAGCUGCCAUACCUUUGCUCAGCCAGGUUACAUACACAAUAAAGGUGGCCUACAGCCUUGUGAUACAAUGCUCAUCCCUGACUGUUCAGUUAAUUUGUCUCUGAGGCCAUAAAGAUAGCUCUGUUUGAUUCUCAGAGGUUGUUUCAUGCUUGUUUUUGUUUCUGGAUUAAACUUUAACUGGUUUCCAGGGAUGCUGCGAGGGCUGGAGAGAGCCACGCUUCUAGCUGUGUUUCAGGCUUUCAAAUUUGGGGCAGAAAAUCUGCCCACGACCACAUGGAUUCCUUCUUCACUUUACUCUCUUUCUUCAGUUUUUUACAGGACAGCCCAGGAGGGUUGCCCCCAUGUAACAGCGCUUUCUUUUCACUGCUCACCUGCUUUUUGCUGAGCUGAAGGGAGCUUUGGCUGCCAGACAGAUAACUGCACCAUUGUUGAAGCAAGCACUGAACACUGCUGCAUUUCAUCCUAUAAAUCUGUACUCCAGGAAUUCAGCAGUCCUCUGAGACAGCCUUUCCCUGCCUCCUGUGGCCAAGCUUCCACAAAACGGAGCACAUCUAUCACCUGAUCCCGCUGUGGAGAGGCUGCUGGUGAGGGAUUUGCUCUCUGAAGCAUCCCCUGGCCUCUGCUACUUCCAGGGAAAAGCUGUCAAGAUAAUGCCUGCUGUGAUCAGAGCCCUGCCAGCCAUUUACCAUUAUAGGAGGUUGGGUCUGUGCAGCAUUAGGUGAACCAAAACAGCAGCCUGCAACAAUGUGGGCUUAAGCUUCAUGGUGACAUGAAAUUUUGCAGAAAGCUGCGUCUGGGAGCGUGGUGCCGUGUCUGUCUGUUGGCAGGGUGGAAGCCAAAAAAGAAACGGCAGCAGGCUGGUGUCCUGUGAGGCAAAGCUGUGUCAUCUGUGUGCAAAAUGCAGUAGCAUGUUGGCUAGCACAGUGGUAUCUGAUUGCAUUUUGAAUUGCACCUCCUAGGAGACAGAGAAGCUGGUAGUUUGCAUGGGCAACUUCUUGACACUGAGGGUAUGAUUUUGUAUAGAGAGUUAAUACUUUUCCUGAGGAAGGAGGUGGGGAGAUGGGGAAAGUCCUUACAAAAUUUUUUGCUGUUGCUGUUCUUAAAGCCUGAGAAAACAACUUGUUUUUUUUCUGAAAAGUGUGAAUUUGUUGAAAUAGUCAUUACCUUGUCACUUCCCAGUGAGCUGGGAUGGCACAAUUGCUCCAUUGCUUCUUUGCAUCAACUGCCUAAUUGGUUUCUAUUGUGAUAUACAUCACUUAUAUACAGCCUUCAUACGACCCCCAAAAUAGGUUUCUGUAUUUAAAUACAUACUGCCAUGCUGGCUUGCACUAUGCUAUAGGCAGGCAGGAAUUCAGCAGGCAGAGCAAUUGUUCACAGGUCUUUUGGGGUGGGGUUUUUUUGUGUUCAGAGAAGCCUCCAGUCCCAUUGCUUAGCAGAUAGCAACGCUGAGUCACACACAGCUUUUGUCCACACACCAGCAUCAUUGCUGCAUACCAGCCUGGCACUUUGGCCAAUCAGUUCUUCUUCUGUAUCCUUUUUACUGGGCAAUGACAUCAAAUCAAAACUUUUUUUCUGUGCAAAGGCAGGACCUUGUCCUUCUGCAUCUUCCUGUAUUUUCUACAUUUCCAUUUUCCCACACAUCAAGGGAGGUUUCAUUUCACAAUUUCUACUCCAGAACAGCCUUCAGUGACAGACACCCAGUCUUCAGUGGGUAGACACUGCCAUGAUGGAGAUCAGCACAAAUGAAACCUUACAGGGUUUAGUCAUGAGUAUGGGUUUUAAAUUGGAAGAUGAACUUUCAGACCAAUAUAUCUCUUCAUUUUUCACCGCAAAUAGGACUGUGCCACAGAAUCAUAAACUGCUGUAGGGGCUUAAGGUUAAUUAAUGGAUAACAGGUCUUGUAUCAAAUUCGAACCCUGAUAUACAUGUUCAUGCUUUGAUUUAGGGCUAGAUUUUGCUAUUGAAUCCCACACUUCAACAGAAAUAGCACUUGAAAAUCCAGCGUUCAAAUGCGGUUUUCUUCAACCAGCUUUUUGAAACAAGCCCCAAUUCCCUUUUAACUUCUUAAUAAAUAAGACUAAAAGGUAACAAUUUUCUUUCAGAAACACAAAACAGCAGGAGUUAAUUUUAUUCUCAGUUAUUAUGGUGUUCUGCUGAAAUAACAGUGAAGCGGUGCUGUACUUUUCCCAGCUUGGAGAGUAAGAUCUGUCCCCAGGAGCUUAGAAAAUGCCUACUUUUUCCAAACUGCUAAAACUGUCGGUGUGGUGGGUUGUCUUCUUUUUUUUUUUGGUUUUUUGUUUUUGUGAGCGUAGGGGAGGAGAUCAGGGAAUAAAAGAAUGGAUUAAUCCAGAGCAGCCCAUGGACAAUACGCACUAACCAAACCUGUUUAGCUUUUA